UUUGACAACAAAUUGAGGGUUUCAAGGGCUGAGAAGAAAUCGAUACUUGCUUCAAGUAACCAGUAACUCUUUUUCGUACUACAGUAAUACUUUUUUUUGGGGCAAUGUCUUUUUCCCAAUCUUCUAGUAAUAAGGAUCUAGCAUGGAAAUAUGCCAAACCAAAAAAAUCAGAAAGAUCGAAAUUGUAUGAUUUGUAUGCUUUGUGGAAAUACUUAUAUAGGGGGUAUUUUUCGGUAAAAAGAGCACUUCGCCAGUAUUUCUGAGAAUGUAAGAGCAUGCCCACAAGCUACAAAAGAGAUCAGAGAAUACAUGGAUAGCUUGAAAAAACAAAAAAAGAAGAAAAAAAUGAAAUCCAAAGAAUUAAUUGAUGAAAUGCAAUUAUUUGAUGAUGAUGUUGAGGAGGAGGAUAUGUCAGAAGUUGUAAUGAGGCAAAUGGGUACUCCAUUGUCAAGAGAGAGGGUUAUAAAUAUUGGUGGUAGCGUUGGAAAAAAACACCUCUCUCCAAGGGGCCAAUAGAUAAUUUUUUCAACCCUGACUCCAAAAUUAUGGUUCUGGAGAGGAGGAAAAAACUAAACAAACUGCAAUUGAAAAUUGAUACAAGAAAGAAGAGUGGAAGGAGGUAUGUAAGUACAUUGCAAAGUGGUUUUAUAUGGCCAACAUUCCUUUCAAUAUUAUAAUCCUUGAUAGUUUUGCGUGUAUGGUCCAGACAAUUGGGUUAUUUGGACCAAGACUUAAUCCUCCUUGACUAAAUGAGAUUUGGGAGCCCUUAUUGGAGGAUGCUAUUUCUGAUGUUAACAAAAUUUUGAUUUCUCAAAGGGAAGGUGGGAGAAGUAUGGAGCAAUUAUUAUGUGUGAUGGAUAGUCUGAUGGGAAGUCGAGGUCAUUCAUUAAUUUUUUGGUUAACUGUCCAACAUGUACUAUUUUAUUAAGUCUGUGGAUGCAUCAGACAAGUCACAUGAUGCUACAUACUUAUGUGGCUUGAUGGAUGAGAUAAUAGAGUUUUUUGGGAGAGAAACAUGUGGUCCAUGUUGUCACUGACAAUGGUGCCAAUUACGCAGCAGCUAGGCAUUUAUUGACUUUGAAGAGGACACAUAUGUUUUGGACUAGUUGCGCAGCUCAUUGUGUCAAUUUCAUGCUUAAGGAAAUGGGUACUACAUCUAUAUUUAGUGGGGUGAUUUCAAAAGCUAUGUUGUUGGAUUUAUUUAUAAUCACAUCAUAGUCCUUUGUAUGAUGAGGAGUUAUACAAAGAAAAGGGAAUUAGUGAGACCGGGUGUCACUAGAUUUUCCACAUCAUUUCUCACUCUUCAAAGCUAAUGCAAGCAAAAAAAAUGCCUUGAGGACCAUGUUUGCUUCAGAACAAUAGAGUCAAAGCAUGUGGUCAAAGCAUUGGGAUGGGAGUAAGGCUGAACAAAUUAUUAUGAAUACAUCUUUUUGGAAUCUGAUAUAUCAUGCAUUGAAGGUGGCUGGCCCUUUAAUGAGUGUGCUUUGAUUGGUCGAUGGUGAUGUGAAGCCCGCGAUGGCCUGCGUACAUGAGGCAAUGGCUAGGACAAGAGGAGAGAUAAAAAAGGCUUUAAAGGAUGAUGAAAAUAAAUGCAAGGCUAUACUUGGAAUUAUUGUUAGGAGAUGUGAUAACCAGCUCCACAGGCACCUCGAUUCAGCCGGUUACUUUUUUAAAUCCAUCUUUUCACUACAAGCAACCAUCUAUUGUGUCUGAUCGUGUAAUAAGUGGUGGGUACUUAGAUGUGCUUGAGAGGUUGGUCCCUAACAAAGAUAUCCAAGAUGAGAUCCAGAGCCAAGAAUUGAUUAAGUUCAAGUUAGCCUUGGGAAACUUUGAGAGAGAGAUUGCUACUCGAAACAGGAACACUAUAGAUCCAACUGCAUGGUGGACAUUUUAUGGAAGCACGAUACCAUAUCUACGACGUCUCGUUAUUCAAGUGUUGAGUCUCACAUGUAGCUACUCUAGUUGCGAACGCAAUUGGAGUGCAUUUGAGCAUGGAUUAAUGAAGAAGAACGGCCUAACACUAGAGCACAAAGGAGUAGAGCUGGGUCUAGUCAGCUCCAAAGGUCGAGGAGGAGGAGGAGACUGACUCAGAUGAGACCAAGGAAGAAGAAUAUGUGGAGGCUGCCGGUGAUGAUGGUGAUGAUGAUGCAUAUGGAACCUCUCAAGAUAACGUCUCUGAUUAGGAUUUGAAAUUUAGAAUCUCACUCUCAAGACUUGAGAAAUGAUGAUGAUUGUACUGACUCUGGAGCUUUACUUUUUGAACUCUUUAAACUUCUUUGACUUUUAGUUUGCAUUUUGUAACUUUCAAGUUUGUGGUUGCAAAUUUGUACUUAUGGUUGUUGAGUGUUUUAUGAAGCUAGUUUCAAGUUUAUAGUUUCUAUCAGGGGAUAGUGGAUACAGAACCUCCCAUUUUCUCUCUCUUGCAACCUACCCCACUCACUCAUUUCCUCUGCUUCUACACUAGCAAUCUUCCCAUUUUCUCUCUCUAGCAACCCCACACACUCAUCUCCUAUUCUCCCACUCGCUCUCAAUCUUCCACUUUCUUUCUCUAGCAUUCCCACACACCUCUUUCUUAGAGCUCAACAUCACGACCUUUUCUCAAGGCUCCCACUUCUUAAGGGCUCGUUUGGUUCGUAUGAAAACUUGCAGUAUGGAACAGUUUUCAUAUGGCACAUAUAGUUAUGUACAUUUCGUUUGUGCUUAAGGUUGAUGAAAACUUGUCCCAUAGGAAAAGGUUUUACCACCACAAGGAGCAAAUCAUGUGAAAAGGAAUCCCAGCCUACAAGGUGGGGAGUAGGUCAUUGGGGAUCCAUUACUUGCGCGGACCCGAAGUAAUGUUUCAUUUGAGUUUACUGCACAAAAAAUGACGGAAGGAAAAAAACCUCUGCGUCAAACCCUCUCCCUCACUUGCCCCGCUCAAAGUCCCCCUUCUCACGAAACCCUUGCCCCUCUCUCACUCCUCUGUGUCAAAUCCUUGCCCCUCUCUCACAAAGGCCUGCCCCUCUCAAAGCCCUUGCCACUCUCUCUCAACCCUCUGCAACCCGACCCAUAGGUGCGGAUCCAUUUGCAAGCUUUCAUCUUCUUCAACAAUGUAAGUUUUUUUUUUUUUAGCUGGUGUUCUUUUAUUUUUUUGCUGGUCCCUCUUUCUUGUCCUCUUCUCGUUCUCGUGGUAAAUGGGGAGUUGUAACAAUGGUAAAGCCACUUCCUUCUCUCACUAGAAUUAUUUGAAAUUUCUAUUGCUUUAUGCUAUGAGAGAGAAUGGGUACUUUAUCUUCUUGGUUUCUAAGUUUUUCAAUUCGUGCUCUGAACUGUGGUUUGUUUUGCUAUGGUGAUAGCGAAUAAUAGGGUCUCCAUGAAUAUUUUUCUUCAACUAGGGCAAUUGCUGCUUAUAUUUGUUUUCUAACUUAUUGUAAAAAAUGUAUUUUUCAUUCUUUUCAAGAAGAAAUGAAUGAAAAUUAGCAUGUUGAAACAAUGGUCACUGCAACCUCAGCAAGUAUUAGUCCUCUGAGCUAAAAUGGGGGAUCUGUCUCCGUUAAAACUAUUGAUUUUUUUUUUUAAUGGAUGUUGAUGAUUGAAUGGACUAUGGUUUUCUAUAGUGAAUUUGAUUAUAGUACACUUUCCCAUAAAGUACUUCUUGUUGAUUAGUUGUUAUUAGAUGUUGAUCAAUGACUGAUUUUGUUGAGGUUGGGCUUGAUUGUUUUGUUAUUUAUCACCUGUGAAUCUGUGAUUUGAUAUUGUUCAAUUGACAGAUUCAUUUUUUGCAUCUCUGGCAAUGGGCAUGAAAACCAUUCACACACGAUACAAAUCUGUCUUCCUCAACAUACAAAUGCACACGCAUGAUGAACAUGAUAGCAAUAUACACAUUCAUUAGUCAAAAGAAUGCUACCUUUUUAGGUGUAAUUUUUCACUUGAUAUUGCACCUUCCCCAGUCCCUUUGCACAUUGUACACCCUUGAACGGCAAAGAGGAAGAAAAAAUUCUUUCAAGAAAAUUGUUUGUCCCUUAUGCAAUCCCCUAUGGAAAAACAAAAGGAAAAGAUAAUAGGGACUUGGUGGCUGCGGCCUGCCCAUCCUUUGAACCCAAUGGCUGCAGUAUAUUGUCUGCAUUUCUGUUUGAAUAUUUCCAUUUUCUCUUGAAAUGCCUUUUGACCAUGCUUUGCUUGGGUUGUCAUGUUGCAUACAUGAGCUUUUUAGAUGGAAUUUGACUUUCAGAUAAAUAUGUUGUUAAUUGCAUCCACAAGGUCAGUCUUGAUGUGAUCAGAACUCUUUGGAUUUUUAAGCGUUAAUUUGCAUUCCUGCAUGCAUUCGGGCAAUUUUUUGUGAGUUAUAAGGUUUGCUCUAUAUUCAAUGGGUAUGGUUAUUCCUAAGAUUUAUAGGGUCUUGAUGCAAUGUGAGGGUAACCCUGACUAAUGGUUAUACAGUGGGCAAUGUACUGUUUGUUCACUUGCUUCAGGGGGCAUUUCUUUCAGUAUGAAACAUUUAUAUAUAACAAUGGUGAUCAUGUAGUGGCUGAUGGAAUGACUCUUCUAACUUGAUCUGUAUUCUCUUCUCACAAUCUAAUAUGGUUAUUAAUAUAAUAAAAAAGCAGGCUGGUGGACUGACUUACCUCGUGUGUAAAUUUGUUCUACACCAUUUCAUGUAGUGAAAUUAUUUUCACAUUCCGUCUCAAUUAUUUAGAAAUUAUUAUUACAGUGAUGAAGUAGAUUCUACUCAGAUGCUUCCUGAGUAUUUUUUUGGCCUCCUCAAUCUCUUGAAAAGAUAAAUAUCAUGGUGUUUGUAUGCGCAACCCAACUAUUGAAAUCAAAAUUACAGAAUGCCAUACUCUAGUUGGAAGUUUAAAUAUAGUGAGGCUUGUUCAAAAAUUACAGAAUUACAGAAUGUCAUAAUCUAGUUGGAAGUUAGAUAUAGUGAGACAUGAUUGUGUGGGAAUUAUAGGGUGCAGUUGGCAUAAGGCAUUAUGUGAUUUUUAUAGUGGGGCUUGUUCAUGAAUUUUGAAGCUAGGUUUUGAAUGCUUUUCUCUUUAUUAGAAUAUGGAUUAUUUUCCGUUUCUUUUCUGCUGAUAUGCUUUCUGAUUAUGAUCUCAUAAUAAGCAGUUUGAUAGUGACAGUUAUGUAUCUUUGUUAGAUAUUGAUGCCCUGUUUUCAUUUCUUCAUUUGUCAAUGCUUAUUUGAAGGGCAUAAACUUAGUUAUGCAAUGCUGGUUUUUAAUUUUUAGAAAUCUAUCUAAAUUCUUGAAAUAGAUUUUUUUUUUCAUACCAAUACCAAAUGUUGUGGCAGAUGUUUAAACAUUGUAAAAAUGUUAAUGCUGAUUUAUGUAAUUAAAAGGAGGGUCUACCUUCUUUAUUUAAUUUUAUGCUGUUUUUUACGUUAUUAGAUGUUCAUAAGCUACAUAUGUUUAGUCUUGACCAUAUGCCUUGCUAGCUGUUAGCAUUAUCAACAACACCCAUGCAAGGGAAUCUUGAUUGCAUGCCUUACUAGCUGUUAGUGUUAUAUAUGAUUUCUUGUGAGAGUCAAAAUGGAUUUUUUCAAUGAAAGGAAAAGUGAAUUUUAGUUGAAAAACUCAAAAAAUAUUUCAA